rnacentral:rRNA from 1 species
UCAGAACGAACGUUGGCGGCGUGGAUUAGGCAUGCAAGUCGAACGAGAAAGGCUUUUUCGGAAGCCAAGUACAGUGGCGGACGGGUGAGUAAUGCAUAGMCAACUUGCCCCUGAGAUGGGAAUAACGCUUCGAAAGGAGUGCUAAUACCCAAUAUUGCCUCGAGUCGAUAGGUUCGCGGUAAAAGGAGGCCUCCGAUUUAAGCUUCCGCUCAGGGAGAGGUUUAUGUCCUAUUAGCUUGUUGGCGGGAUAACAGCCCACCAAGGCAGCGAUGGGUAGCCGACCUGAGAGGGUGACCGGCCACAUUGGGACUGAGACACUGCCCAAACUCCUACGGGAGGCUGCAGUCGAGAAUCUUCCGCAAUGCGCGCAAGCGUGACGGAGCGACGCCGCGUGGGUGACGAAGGCCUUCGGGUUGUAAGGCCCUGUUAGCUAUUAUGAAUUGCGGGCAAUGAAUAGUUGUCCCGUUUGACGUAUGUAGCAAAGAAAGCACCGGCUAACUACGUGCCAGCAGCCGCAGUAAUACGUAGGGUGCAAACGUUGUUCGGAAUCACUGGGCAUAAAGCGCGCGUAGGCGGUUCGGUCAGUCAGAUGUGAAAUCCCCCGGCUCAACCGGGGAACUGCAUAUGAUACUGCCGAGCUAGAGUGCAGGAGGGGAGAGCGGAAUUCCUGGUGUAGCGGUGAAAUGCGUAGAUAUCAGGAGGAACGCCGGUGGCGAAAGCGGCUCUCUGGACUGUUACUGACGCUGAGGUG